UACGUAGGCAGCAAGCGUUGUUCGGAAUUACUGGGCGUAAAGAGCUCGUAGGUGGUUUGUCGCGUUGUUCGUGAAAACCUGAGGCUUAACCUUGGGCGUGCGGGCGAUACGGGGCAGACUGGAGUACUGCAGGGGGAGACUGGAAUUCCUGGUGUAGCGGUGGAAUGCGCAGAUAUCAGGAGGAACACCGGUGGCGAAGGCGGGGUCUCUGGGGCAGUAACUGACGCUGAGGAGCGAAAAGCGUGGGUAGCGAACAGG
rnacentral:rRNA from 1 species